GACGAACGUUGGCGGCGUGCUUAAUACAUGCAAGUCCACUGAAGCAGUGGUAGCAAUAUCGCUGUGGAGGUGGCGCACGGGUGAGUAACACGUAGGUAAUCUGCCUUCAGGUCUGGCAUAACUCCGGGAAACCGGGGCUAAUAGCAGAUGAUGCAGCGGCUCGACAUCGAGACAGUUGUUAAAGCUAUGGCGCCUGAAGAUGAGCCUGCGUCUGAUUAGCUAGUUGGCGGGUAACGGCCCACCAAGGCAACGAUCAGUAGCUGGUCUGAGAGGAUGAUCAGCCACACUGGAACUGAGACACGGUCCAGACUCCUACGGGAGGCAGCAGUAAGGAAUAUUGCUCAAUGGGAGAAAUCCUGAAGCAGCAACGCCGCGUGAGGGACGAAGGGCUUUUGCUUGUAAACCUCUGUAGUGAGAGAAAAAAAUCCCAAUCUUUGGGACAUGAUGGUAUCUCAAAAGUAAGCCCCGGCUAACUACGUG
rnacentral:rRNA from 1 species